UACGUAGGGCGCAAGCGUUGUCCGGAAUUAUUGGGCGUAAAGAGCUCGUAGGCGGCUUGUCACGUCGGGUGUGAAAGCCCGGGGCUUAACCCCGGGUCUGCAUUCGAUACGGGCUAGCUAGAGUGUGGUAGGGGAGAUCGGAAUUCCUGGUGUAGCGGUGAAAUGCGCAGAUAUCAGGAGGAACACCGGUGGCGAAGGCAGGUCUCUGGGCCGAUACUGACGCUGAGGAGCGAAAGCGUGGGGAGCGAACAGG
rnacentral:rRNA from 1 species